AUUUGAUUUAAGUUAAGUCAAAAAAAGGCCUGUUUUGGCUCGAGUAUCAAGAAUUGGGUUACUAACAGCCUCAUUCCACAGUCAGUACUUGUGAAAAUUCAUCAGACUGAAAUUUUUACCUACAACCAAAGUUAAAUAACUCGUGACUGCAUUUCUGAUUUAUCCAAAAAAUUUCCAAGUAGGUCCUUCAAUUUAGCGCAAUCUAUCUCUGUUGAAGAGAUAUCCUUUGAUGUCAUCAUUCCUUAGAUCUUAUUGGACAGUAAGAAUUACCAGUGUUAGACGACAGUGGGGUAGGUUGACAUCAUUACUGUAUCCUGCGCAUAUCAGAGCAACAACCCAGGUUUCUUGAGUCCAAGAACACAUAUAACCUAUGCCUAGAGCGAUACGCUUGAGUCCAUCAAACUCCUGCAGUAUCAAGUGACAUUAUUGCAUCGGGCUAAAAGGGAAUUCUGCUGGGAGAAAGAGAGCUACAUUGUGAAAUUGGAUAUUUGAAGCAGCAGCAGGAGCAGAAGGGAGGAAGAGCCUGAGUGCGCAAUGAUGGGCAGGCUACUCUCCGGAGUGCAGAUAGCAAAAGAAGCAGCCCGGUCAGACGCACGCCCGGUGGAACAGAGACGUGAGAUGACAAGACAAAGUCUAAGUCACAAAGAGGUUUUGUUUCGACACAAGAGAUGAUUUCAUUCUGCACUAUAGCGACAGUAUAGCGCCUGCUCCGCUCGUCUCCAAGGGCUGAUCGGCGGACCGGCGCCUUUUACGCACAUCUUUUCCCGGAAUAACCACCCUGCAUAAAGUGGAUCAGCUGUUGUCGGCCUGAGCUGAAGGUGACCUGUUGGCUGGGCCAGGGGCUGCAACACAGGACAUGGGUCCUGCCUCUCCUUCCCGCUCGUGUCUUGUGUUGCAGCCAGUGGAGCUGCCUGUCUGCCUCUGUGUCGGCCUGCCUGCUGGACUGAACUCUCAGAACAGAUGGAUCCCACCAUUGUGGAGCUGUCGACCCUGCUCCACACUUUACUGCCAGCUUGCACCUUGUCAGAAUAAGUAUAGUUCAUAAUAUUCAUAAUAUUGGCCUCCCUCAGAGUUUUAAAGCAAUAAAGUACUUUAGAGAAAAAAA